UUUCUCUCUCAAGUUCAAAUGUCAAAUUGGUGUGCAAAGACAUGAUGCAGUCAAACAUUCUACUUGUCGCGUUCGCCUUUGACCAGCAAUGACGACGCAACACCAACGCUCUUCUUCUAGCAGUUUAUUCAGGAAAACUUAACAUUCUUUUUCUUCUACCCCUGGGGAGCACCCGUCCCUAGAAUAAGUACCCCUGAACCAACCAAUCACGGAUAGUCAUGUGGCGAAUGCGGAUAGGUACACGUAAGAGGGGGCAGAGCAUCAGACACAUCACAGCCAAAUAAGGAGUUGUUUAUCAUAAAGAGCUCUCACCGUCGGGAUGGCGGAAGGCGGAAACCAGCGCCAUCUUUAAGGCGUGGCACACGCAGCUCUCCACACACGAAUAGAAAUAAGAUGUCCAAAUCCACUAGAAAAUACAAGGUGGGAAACCUUCCCUUGAGAAGGAGAGAAAGAAGGGAUUGGAAGCAGAGAUUGCCCUUAGGAACAGAAUAACUUGAGGACCACACAAAAAUGCUAGAGAAGACAGAGUCUUCAGAAUCAUGAAAUGUCAAGUUGAAAAAUCUCCAGAAAUUCUACCCAUGAGAUCAUUAAAAGCAC
rnacentral:lncRNA from 1 species